CUUGUCGAAGAGGAAGCGUUAUCCUCUUUCAGAGUUAAAUAAUUUGUCGAGCAAUAAUUUUACAGUUCCAGCAACUACAGCAUAAACUGGAAAACGAAACCGAAUCUGAUUUGUUCUCCGUGCUCACAGAGCGCGGCACCAGGUGGCACCGUGCGCUGCGCCUCCGGUCUCGAAGGAUCUAACAAGCGGUUGAUGCAGCUGCGAAUGUGUAGUCAGUCGGCUUUUAUCGUUUUAUGUUGUGCAGAUUGUUAGUUCACCGUAAAUAUGUCUUGAUUUGUACUCAAGAGUGAAGCAAGGCCCCAAGGAACAGAGAUUGACGCAACGGGAGCGAAGAACAGAAGCGAUGGAUGGUUACGCUGGUUGAAUCUCGGCAUGUUCAAAAUGGCGAAGUUCCGAAUUUGUCGCUGCGUGACGUGCGCGUGUGUGCUCGUGAUGUGCCGUCAUAGCGCGGGGAUAUUUGUGCUGAAUGUGUUUCACUUCGUCUACAAAACUCUGCACGCAAUGGCAUCGAAGAAGUCGUGUGUUCAGGUGCACGUAUGUGCAUGCUUGGAUACGGAAAGCCUGCCCUCAACGGUAGCGCUGAGCUCAGCCGUGUUGGCUCAGCGCUACCCCCUCAACGGAUGUUCAACAGUCUACGUGCUCGUAACCAACACGAGACCUCCUUGCUGUUGCAACUCUGAGGACAAUUGCUUCAAAUGGGAAGGAACAACCAGCACUGCCAGCGCUAUUUGUACAUGAGGACACCUCCUUGCUGUGGCAACUCUAAGGACAAUUGCUUCAAAUGGGAAGGAACAACCAGCAGUGCCAGCGCUAUUUGUACAUGAGGACGUAAGUUCCUUCACAUUAUUGUUAAUGAAAUCAGAUCUAAACAAUGCUGUAAUUCCUCAAAUGGCUUCAAUCGUAGAAACAGUUUGGCAACUGUAUAAAGAUCCAGAUGGUUUUUUUUUUAAUGUGAACUGACAUGCUACCUAAUUUCACCAGCUAUUUAUUCAUUUUUAUUUAUUCAUGCUACCGGUAAAGGCCCUCAAA